rnacentral:rRNA from 1 species
AGAGUUUGAUCCUGGCUCAGGAUGAACGCUGGCGGCGUGCCUAAUACAUGCAAGUCGGACGCAUCACCUUGGUGAUGAGUGGCGAACGGGUGAGUAAUACAUAAGCAACCUGCCCUUUCGAGGGGGAUAACAGCUGGAAACGGCUGCUAAGACCGCAUAGGCAUGGAGACCGCAUGGUCUGCAUGUUAAAUAUCCCACGGGAUAGCGAGAGGAUGGGCUUAUGACGCAUUAGCUGGAUGGUGAGGUAGCGGCUCACCAUGGCGACGAUGCGUAGCCGGCCUGAGAGGGUGAACGGCCACACUGGGACUGAGACACGGCCCAGACUCCUACGGGAGGCAGCAGUAGGGAAUUUUCGGCAAUGGGCGAAAGCCUGACCGAGCAACGCCGCGUGAGGGAGGAAGUCCUUCGGGAUGCAGACCUCUGUUAUAAAGGAAGAACGGCAUAGUCAGGGAAUGGGCUAUGAGUGACGGUACUUUAUGAGAAAGCCACGGCUAACUACGUGCCAGCAGCCGCGGUAAUACGUAGGUGGCGAGCGUUAUCCGGAAUCAUUGGGCGUAAAGAGGGAGCAGGCGGUCAUGCAGGUCUGAGGUGAAAGCCCGAAGCUAAACUUCGGCGAGCCUUGGAAACCGAAUGACUUGAGUGCGGUAGAGGAACGUGGAAUUCCAUGUGUAGCGGUGAAAUGCGUAGAUAUAUGGAGGAACACCAGUGGCGAAGGCGACGUUCUGGGCCGCCACUGACGCUCAGUCCCGAAAGCGUGGGGAGCUCAUAGGAUUAGAUACCCUAGUAGUACACUCCGUAAACGAUGAGUACUAAGUCUUGGGGGUCAGACCCCAGUGUUGGAGUUAACGCGAUAAGUACUCCGCGCGAGUAGUACGUUCGCAAGAAUGAAACUCAAAGGUAUUGACGGGGGCCCGCACAAGCGGUGGAGCAUAUGGUUAAUUCGAAGCAACGCGAAGAACUUUACCAGGUUUUGACAUACCGUCAUAUGUCCCAGAGAUGGGCAGAUAGCUAUGGCGGAUACAGAUGGUGUAUGCUAGUCGUCAGAUCGUCUCGUGAGAUCUUGGCUUAAGUCUCGCGACGAGCUCAACCCCUCUUGCCAGUUGCCAGCACUAGCAUGGGGACUAUGGAGAGUCUGCAUGUGGAAGGAGGAGGUAGCCGGGGAUGACAUCAAAUAAUCAUGCACCUUAUGACUUGGGCUACACACAUGUUACAAUGGGCGGAUCAGAGGGAAACGCAAUCGCGUGAUGGACACGAAACCCAGAAACCCGAUUCCUCAGUCUCGGAGGUGCAGGUUUGGCAUACUGUAGAUAUGUCAACGACAGUCUCGGAAAUCUGCAUUAGUAACUACAGCUGAGAUGCCAGUCAUGAUUCGUCGCGAUGAUAUACAGUGUCAUCNGCGGACCCUAUGUACAUCAGUCCGCGCACGUCCAAGGAGGCAGAACUUCUGUAUUAAACCAAUGUCAGGGAGCGAGUCUACCANUUUCAAGUNGAGGCGCNUAUANUUNGUGANGUCUUGGCAGUUUCUGUU